CAAUUGGUAUGUUCUUAGUCUCAGGCAAGAAGAAGUAUAUGAAGAUGGUCAUUAUCAGGACAAAUCCCCCAAAGAAGAGGAACAGCCCAAACUUCAUGUGACAAAGCAUAUUCAAGAACACUUGGGCCACCAGAAAAGUGAAGAGCAUGUUCACUGAAACGUUAACACUCUGAGCAGCAGACCUGAUCUCAAGUGGGAAAAUCUCACUAGGCACCAGCCAUCCAAGGGGUCCCAAGACCAAGCAAAUCCAGCGACGUAUAUGCAUAUGAACAGCACCACCACAACUGCAUACCACUUUGGUAAAUGGCCAGCAACUCCAUUGACACCAAACUUCACACCGAUGCAAAUUGACACGAUGAUCUGCGAAUCAAGCAAAGUUAUUCAAGUGUUAAAACCAGAACCAGAACCGUUUUCUUCGAUUCCAAAAGAGAAUUAGGCAUUAAUUGGGUGAUUUUUUUUCGGUGGGGGGCGGGGGGUACCUGGCAGAUGAGCAUUUGUACGCCACCUUCAAGGAAAAGCGCUCUCCUACCCCAUUUAUCCACAC
rnacentral:lncRNA from 1 species